rnacentral:rRNA from 1 species
AUUGAACGCUGGCGGCAUGCCUUACACAUGCAAGUCGAACGGUAACAGGUUAAGCUGACGAGUGGCGAACGGGUGAGUAAUACAUCGGAACGUGCCCAGACGUGGGGGAUAGCUCGGCGAAAGCCGGAUUAAUACCGCAUAAGCUCUGAGGAGGAAAGCGGGGGACCGUAAGGCCUCGCGCGUUUGGAGCGGCCGAUGGCAGAUUAGGUAGUUGGUGGGGUAAGGGCUUACCAAGCCUACGAUCCGUAGCUGGUCUGAGAGGACGACCAGCCACACUGGGACUGGGACACGGCCCAGACUCCUACGGGAGGCAGCAGUGGGGAAUUUUGGACAAUGGGCGAAAGCCUGAUCCAGCAAUGCCGCGUGCAGGAUGAAGGCCUUCGGGUUGUAAACUGCUUUUGUACGGAACGAAAAGGCGCCUACUAAUACUGGGUGUUGAUGACGGUACCGUAAGAAUAAGCACCGGCUAACUACGUGCCAGCAGCCGCCGUAAAAC